rnacentral:rRNA from 1 species
GAUGAACGCUAGCGGCAGGCCUAAUACAUGCAAGUCGAGGGGCAGCACGGUAGCAAUACUGGUGGCGACCGGCGCACGGGUGCGUAACACGUAUACAAUCUGCCUUUAACAGGGGGAUAGCCUUUCGAAAGAGAGAUUAAUACCCCAUAACACUUGUCAUGGCAUCAUGAUGGGUUAAAAGCUCCGGCGGUUAAAGAUGAGUAUGCGUCUGAUUAGCUAGUUGGUGAGGUAACGGCUCACCAAGGCGACGAUCAGUAGGGGAUCUGAGAGGACUACCCCCCACACGGAUACUGAGACACGGAUCCGACUCCUACGGGAGGCAGCAGUAAGGAAUAUUGGACAAUGCCCGCAAGGGUGAUCCAGCCAUGCCGCGUGCAGGAAGAAGGCGCUAUGCGUCGUAAACUGCUUUUACACCAGAGAAAACCCUCCUACGUGUAGGAGGCUGAUAGUACGGUGAGAAUAAGCAUCGGCUAACUUCGUG